CACACUCGUAAGAAUGAUCAAGGAAAACUAGAAUGGCUCGAUACGCGGUCAAAAGAAAUCCAUGUGAAGUUGAAAGAUGUUGUUGCAUCAGCUGGGGAUUCAAUGACACAAGAUGAAAUUUUGCUUAGAGUUCUGGGCCAAAAGUCAGGGCAUGUACGUGGAAAAGGGACAGGGAUACGUGCAUAUUCUAAAGAGAAAGCACAAAUAGAACAACGUAAGAUUGUGGAGCAACAACAAGAGAAAAUUCAAGAGCAACAACAACAAAUUAAAGAUUUGAUGGAAAGUCAGUUGCUACAACAACGACAAUUUGAAGAAUAUAAGGCACAACAACAAGAAGCAAUUGAAUCGAUGAAACAAAGCAUCUUACAACAGCUACAGAAUAAAGAAGUUCAAUGAUUGUCAUGAAUGCUUAUUAGGGAAACAUAUCUUCGUUGAAAAUUUUUUGUACUCAAUGACGAAGUUGGUGAUAGCUACAAGCAUUUUGGAUGCGCGAUGUUUUGGGUUAUGAAGAAGUUAUAUAUGCACUUG